rnacentral:rRNA from 1 species
GACGAACGCUGGCGGCGUGCCUAAUACAUGCAAGUAGAACGCACAGUUUAUACCGUAGCUUGCUACACCAUAGACGGUGAGUUGCGAACGCGUGAGUAACGCGUAGGUAACCUUCCUGGUAGCUGGGGAUAACUAUUGGAAACUAUAGCUAAUACCGCAUCAUAUUAAUUUUUGCAUGAUAAUUGAUUGAAAUAUGCAACUGCAUCACUACCAGAUGUACCUGCGUUGUAUUAGCUAGUAGGUGAGGUAACGGCUCACCUAGGCGACGAUAUAUAUCCGACACGAAGAGGUGAUCGGCCAGCCUGAGACUGAGACAGGGCCCAGACUCCUGCAGGAGGCAGCAGUAGGGACUCUUAGGCAAUGGAGGAGAGUCUGACCGAGCACCGCCGCGUGAGUGAAGAAGGAUUUCGGAUCGUAAAGCUCUGUUGUAAGAGAAGAACGGGUGUGAGAGUGGAAAGUUCACAAUGUGACGGUAGCUAACCAGAAAGGGACGGCUAACUACGUG